rnacentral:rRNA from 1 species
AUACAGAGGGUGCAAGCGUUAAUCGGAUUUACUGGGCGAAAAGCGCGCGUAGGUGGCUAAUUAAGUCAAAUGUGAAAUCCCCGAGCUUAACUUGGGAAUUGCAUUCGAUACUGGUUAGCUAGAGUAUGGGAGAGGAUGGUAGAAUUCCAGGUGUAGCGGUGAAAUGCGUAGAGAUCUGGAGGAAUACCGAUGGCGAAGGCAGCCAUCUGGCCUAAUACUGACACUGAGGUGCGAAAGCAUGGGGAGCAAACAGGAUUAGAUUCCCUGGUAGUCCAUGCCGUAAACGAUGUCUACUAGCCGUUGGGGCCCUUGAGGCUUUAGUGGCGCAGCUAACGCGAUAAGUAGACCGCCUGGGGAGUACGGUCGCAAGACUAAAACUCAAAUGAAUUGACGGGG